GGUGAACGCUGGCGGCGUGCUUAAGACAUGCAAGUCGAACGGCAGUCUUCGGACUGUAGUGGCGCACGGGUGAGUAACGCGUAACUGACCUACCCCAAAGUCGCGGAUAACGAUUCGAAAGAAUCGCUAAUACGUGAUGUGCUGUCAGAUUGUGUUCUGCCAGUAAAGAUUGAUUGCUUUGGGAUGGGGUUGCGUUCCAUCAGCUAGUUGGUGGGGUAAAGGCCCACCAAGGCGACGACGGAUAGCCGGCCUGAGAGGGUGGCCGGCCACAGGGGCACUGAGGCACGGGUCCCACUCCUACGGGAGGCAGCAGUUAGGAAUCUUCCACAAUGGCGAAAGCCUGAUGGAGCGACGCCGCGUGAGGGAUGAAGGUCUUCGGAUCGUAAACCUCUGAAUCAGGGACGAAAGACACUUCGGUGGGAUGACGGUACCUGAGUAAUAGCACCGGCUAACUCCGUGCCAGCAGCCGCAGUAAAAC
rnacentral:rRNA from 1 species